rnacentral:misc_RNA from 1 species
CCAGAUGUAGCAAAAGUUGGUUCUUUGCAUGAUAAAGAAGUCUCAUUGGAGCAACCCACUGAUAAUGUGGUGGUCACGGCAAAACCUGUUAUAACUACUUACACUUCAAGAAAAAGAUCUGGAGGCUUACGGUCUAGAAAACACGCCCCACAGAAAAAGGAUUCAUCAGUUGAAAGGUCCACAAGUUUGUCAAGGUUGGAAUCCUCUAGAUUCCAGAAUUUGGUGGUGCCAUCUAAUGAUGGUAACAAGAGUGCAGGC